GAUGAACGCUGGCGGCGUGCUUAACACAUGCAAGUCGAACGGGAUCCAAGGGGUGCUUGCACUUUUUGGUGAGAGUGGCGAACGGGUGAGUAACACGUGAGUAACCUGUCCUUUUCUUUGGGAUAAGCAUUCGAAAGGGUGUUUAAUACCUUAUGUUCUGUCUGCCUCGCAUGGGGUGGGUGGGAAAGGCUUUGGCCGGAUUUGGGUGGGCUCGCGGUCUAUCAGCUUGUUGGUGGGGUGAUGGCUUACCAAGGCUUUGACGGGUAGCCGGCCUGAGAGGGUGGUCGGUCACAUUGGGACUGAGAUACGGCCCAGACUCCUGCGGGAGGCAGCAGUGGGGGAAAUUGCACAAUGGGCGAAAGCCUGAUGCAGCGACGCCGCGUGGGGGAUGAAGGCCUUCGGGGUGUAAACUUCUUUUGCUCUGAACAAGGCAUGCCAGUGGGUGUGUUGAGUGUAGGGGUUGAUUAGCGCCGGCUAACUACGUG
rnacentral:rRNA from 1 species